UCGUCCAGUUUGUUGCGAGCGCUAUCCCCUCACCUGCUUUGUUCCUUGACUUCCUUCGCCCACGCCGCCGCCGUUCCAUCGUCUGCGAUGCGUCGCCGCUGUCCUCCGUCCCGUCGGCGAGCUUCUGCUGCGCGUCUGCCUCCGCAUCGGUGCCCUCCACUCGCCCUGUUCUCUUCCUCUGCAGGCCCCUUUAAUGUCGUGUCUUGCAGCUUUCCUCCAUUGCGGCUGCGCCGGCCGCCCAUGCCGUCGACUUCUCGCCAGCCGUCCUCCUCCUGCAUACGCCUCCAUGUCCUUGCAGCUGUACCGCGUGUUCAUCCCCAUUCCGUAACUGAAGCUGAAACUGCCCCUGUAAUUGACCUGAUAAAGGUCCAUUGUCUACCUCCUGUAUGCCUCUAUCCUCUAUUUUGUGAAUCCCCUUGGCACCGAUCAUUGAGAGACACAUGGAGAGGUAAAACUUAAUCAGUUAGGUUGUUAUGUGUGUUGAAUUAUUAGCUUGGUCAAUAAGAAAGCUAAUUGAAACUCAGUUUCUUCGGGAUGCAAGAUAAUUACUGGUUGAAAUCGCUUUCCUAAGAAAGUAAUCAAUAUACGGCAUUGGUCGAACAAAAUGAGCAGCAAGCCAGCAACGACCCAAUACCCCAGGAGUGAUUUUUGUUGUUCUUGAUGGGCCACUUAUUUUAUCAAACCAUUGUUGGUAUAGGAGGAUAAUUUACUAUGAUUCAGUUGCUAAGAAUGCUCUGAUGUGUAGUUGACGUGGGAAGACAAGUUUGUUUAACAAAAGGACAAGAUUCUGGUAAUCUGGAAGUAUGAAAUGCACCGAACGCCAACAUAGCAGAACCUGUAUUCCAUAGGGUUCAGGAUGGUCUAACAAGCCCGAGGCUUUGAGCUCCACGGAAACUAUUUCUAUGGUGAAAACUGAAAAGAGUGAGAAGUCAGCCCUUGGAGACAUGGAACACACAUAAAUUAUUUGAAGAUCAUAUUAUUCGGGAGACCAAUAAUAGUUAUGUCAAUCUGCCUCGAUUAUUAUGAGUACUUGGGUAUUAUGACUUAAUGUUGCACGGCCACUCUAUUGUCAUACAUGAGAUACAUGGGAUUUAUAAACAUAUGUUCUGGCUAGGCAGAACAAAGUUUGAUUGUUCCAAGUGGUACAAAUAACUAGAUUUUUUCAAGAUAUUUCUAUAAUUCUUUUGUCAUGAUGCCCUACUGUUUUUUUAACUUAAGA